GGGGUUCAAAUGUGGCGCUGUGGAAAUUGUGAUGCGCUUCGCACAAGGUGUUUCGGACAUCUCGGAAACGCUGGACGGACACCACUCUGUCCAGGGUGUAUCCUGCCUUGAUGCCCGAUGACGCCUGAGAUAGGCACAGGCUCCCGUGACCUGAGGUAGUUCGGAUAAGCGUUAGAAAAUGAGAGAGAAUGAGAGAGGUGAGUGAACGGACACCGAACGGACACCGAACCAGUGGCGCACAAACAAAAAGCGAAACGAUCCUGGAAGUGAUCCACGAUCAUACGAAUAACUUGAUCUAGGGUUACAGGGAACCUGAAGCUUUUCCCAGGGGACUCCCUGGACAGGGUGCCAAGCCAUCACAGGGCAGGCUCGCACACACACUCACUUGCACACUAUGGGUAAUAUAGAGAUGCCAAUCAGCCUACAACACAUGUCAUUGGACUGAGGGAGGAAAGCAGAUUACCCUGAGGAAUCCCCCAAAGCACAGGGAGAACAUGCAAACUCUGCACACAGAGCAGAGUCAAGAACCAAAUCCCCAACUCCAGAGGGCCUUUGGACUCAUCGGCCCUUCUGCCAGAGACGUCUUCAGUUUCUGUGCUGUUGUUGAAAACCAGUUAAUCAAGAGUGGCGAGAGCUUCCAGGAAACCUUGGGGCCCUGAGGCUCUUCUACUGCUGACGAAUUGUGCUACAGGAAGUGGAACUCGCAGGAGAGAUGACACAGCUAAAAUUAACCAGCCUGUCACCUUCUGCUGAAUGACAGAGUAUAGAAAUAGUAAAAAAGAAAAGAAGGACCUGGGUUAACAUGCCUUAUCAGCUAGUAUGAGCUGCACAUAUUACGCACGUAAUGAGUGUUUUAUUGACAAGGCACUCAAUAGAGGAAAUAAUGGUCAGUGUGUGAACUCAUUAUUAUAAAUGUUUGUUAUUUCAGAUGGAGGGUAAAUUUCCUGUUUCUAAAUAGCUUUGAUGGAAGAAAGCCCAUUGAAGUUGGCUCUCCAUUGUUUGAAAUAAACAGUUGUGUGUCUUUAUGGUCAGUGAUGGAAGUAAAUGAGACUGGUUUUAAUCUUCCAUUUUUUUUUUAUUUCCUACAGCACUGGCCAGUUGUUCAUUAACUCUCAUGAAUUAAUCCAUAAACCUGUGCCAACAACUCCUUUAUUGCUAAAUUUUAUUCUGCUCUGGUGCAGUGAAACAGCCUCUCAUAAGCAUAUCAGAAACGUCUCCCGAUCAACACUGCAUCUGUUGCAGUAUGCCAAGUUCACUAUGGCAAUUAAUCCCAUAUCCUGCUACUGCGUUAAGCAUGUCUGAGCACGUUUUCCACAUAAGCCUUGCCAUUCUUUCAACUAGACUGGAAUUUAUGCCAUGCUACGUACCUUUUGAGAUUCAGUAUUAUGAAAUGUUUGGUCAUAAAGUAAGUUGAUUUCAAUUCUCACUUCCUUAUGUCUUACGUCUGUAAUAUUCUAACCCCAUCUCCACCCACUUGUCAGGGCUCUGGUUACUUUAACCUUGUUGUUUAUCUCAUCUUCUGAUAAUAUUAUGUUACGCCAGCACUUUAUGUCCGAAACUUCUGGGUGGUUUAUGUAAACAGUAUUAUACCCAUGCUGAUCUUGUGAUAAUCCAGUUAAAUGCUUUGUAGAACGUGCACUCAUUAUCCACUUUACUGGGAAGUUUAAUAACUUUUAUUAUUCUCUAGCAAGGGUGGCAGGAAGAGGUAAAAGUGUGUGAACAAACACAGAGACAGCAGAAAAACACAGAAAUGAACAUUGAUACUGCUAACAAGCUGAUACUGUAGAGUAGAAGAGCAAGACUUAUCCCCAGGGGCUGGACAUACAGUAUACACUCACAAGACACGUACACCUGCUCAUUUCCAUUUCCAGGAAAAAUAAUUAUAGUUUCUGAGUUUUGAAGAGGGCUUCUCGAGUUCACAGGGCAGUCAGGCUUCUCUAUCAUUAAAUAAUAUCAUUUUAGCAAGUACGGUAACAUUUAAAAUGAAUUAAAAUCCUAUGGUUUCAAUGCAUGAGAUGCCUCCUGCUGACUGCAGCUCAACGUGUCUGGCAUGUCCAGCUUUAAGCCACAUGGCAUCUCAUCAUCUACUGUAGUAUAUCAUCCUCAAUAAUGAACGCACAAGGGAAAAUCUGUUCCCUAGUUCCAAAUGAUUUUUGCUGUUCCAUACUUAUUAAGUUUAGUUUAUCAGAUUUAUAAUUCAGGGGGAAAAAAUAUUUCAUUUUGAGCCCUAAAAACGUCUAACUCUUAAAGUGAGCUCCUGAGGAACUAGGAACAAAUGUGGUGUAACAGACUAGUUUACAGUAACUUUGUUUAAUAAAAUGUUCUUCUAGGCACCGCGUAAAUAAAUCACAACAAAGGGGCAGCAUUACAGCAGAGAAGGCAGAGUUUUGAAGUUGUCUGAUCUGAUAAACACAGCCCUAGCACCACACUUCUGGCAGUGUUGCUAUAUCCUUGGCCCAAGUUAUUUCUCAAUUCACUGAUGUGACAUUGUGGUAAUGAGCCCUCAGUGUGCUGCAUGCAGUGCCAUACUUAAACUGAGCACUAAGAGGCUUAUUGGUGUGCGAUCAGCCUGCUCCUGUUAGCAGUGUCUCUUUCCUGAGCAUAAUGUCACAGAGAGUAGCAUGCUGGGAGAAGUAGUCAUGCCAAAAGUGAUGGCAUCAGAAUUAGGAAAGGUUUGUUUUUAUUAUGCCUACAUUUAAACUGCAUUUCUUCUUUAGAUUUCAUUCAAUGGUUUACCAAGGCUUAAUCUUCCACUAAACAAACCGUUUGCUGUUUUUAACUGUUUAACAAAUGAACAUACUCAGCAUCUGAGCAUACUCAGCAACAAAAACCGUGAAAUAACUCUCUGUACUUCCUACUAGCUGACAGCUUAUAUGAUUAAUCACACCAACUAUACGCUUUGUCCAUAAGUCAGCCAUUACUUCAGGAAAACAACACUAACAUGGCUAUAAUGUAAACAUCAUUAUAUUUACUUAGUAAAAUGACUAAUAUUCUAACACGUUCUUUGCUAUGCAAAACCUGUGCCUGUUCAUGGGCUCAUUACAAGAAGAGGAAGUGUGUGUAAAGUUCACAGGAUGUUCCAUGGUAGCAGAGCUUCCCUGUAUUCACUCUCCGUGACCUCUCUUUUUCUCUGCCUGUGGCAAAAAUGUCAAAACUGAUACCUCUCAUGUCUCAUCUCAUUUCAUUUAAUACACAUCUAUUUCCUGUUCUUUUUUUUUUUUUUUUGGCACAUACACAAAGCAAGACAUUUUCCUCAACAGGAGGUUCAUUACUUGGUACUGACGUGUGCAGUUGUGCACUAACUUAUUUCUAUGUUUGCAUUUGCUAAAGUGAACAUUUGUUAUCAACUUUUAUUCAUACCCUAAUAGCAGGGAUAGGCACCUUCCCUGUCUCCUCUGAGGGUUAGUUAUUAAUGACAAAUGGCAGGUCUGUUAUUAACAGACUGUGUCUGUCCUUCAAGGAUGUGACCCAAGAGAGGGAACAAAAUAAACAGAGCAGCCUGUUACGUAAUGGCUGUUCCGCUAAGCUAUGUGCCUUUAAAAGCUGUGGGAUGUCAGGUGAUCAGGCAAGCGCAGUCAUCUCAGUUCACUGAGACGUGAGUGUGUAAUCACACAAAAAGAUGAGACACUGGAGUGCAGGAGGAAGAGCGGGAAGAAGAGAGAAAGAGGCAGCUAGAUGGGCAGAGACCCAAUUAAAGGAGGGCAGAGGCAAAGAAGGACAAGAAAGCAGAAGGAAGAAAGAGUGCAAGUAGCGAGAGGAAGAUGGCCAUGUCCGUUUAAUUGUACAAGCGACUGCUCUCUCUUUUUAUCUCCCUCAUUUCUGACACUGUAGCACGAAUGCCGUUGUGAUGAUGCUGGGUUGAGUUUCCCAUGAAGAACGGCUUGCGUAGCCAUAACAGAGAGACGGGAGAAAAGCCUGGAGAAUUAAAUGCUGCGUCACACUGUGCGCUAAAAAGAGGGAAAGCGUAUGAGAGAAAGAGACGUAGAGCAGGAGAGAGAGGCAUCGUGGAAGCAUGGGUGUUUACAGCAGAUAUCCAAUUGUUUGCUUGCAAAGUCUUUUGACAUCUAUUUGUAUGGAUGUGUAUAAAAAAAAAACACAGCAAGUUAUUCUGCUGUUACAAGCCAAUGAAAUCAGAGUGAGCAGGAGAGGGAGGAGUGAUUGUGGAAGGAGGGAGGGUGAUCAGGAGAGCAAGAGAGAGAGAGAGAGAGAGAGAGAGAGACCGAGACAGGGAGGGCAAGAUUUUUGGAUUAGUUGCUACGUCACUUUUUCACAUCGAAAGGAAAGCAGCAGCUAGGAAGACAGGAGUCCGAGUCGCAUGCUUCCAAGAGCGGCCGUGAGUGAGCCUCAGCCCUCUGUCUACUCGUUCGCCUCUCAUCCUUCUCUUUUUCCUCUCCAUCCUCAUUCUCAACCACCCUUUUCUCUCUCUGCCUCUGACGCCCGAGUCCGCACUUUCGGAAUCGCAGCUCUGGGUUCCAACACCGAUGCCGAGGAAGCCGACAUACUUUUUCUUAUAUCUAUACAUAUUUAUAUAAAUAUAUAUAUUUAUAAAUAUAUAUCUAUUUACGUCUGUAUGUGAUGGCGUCGAACGCGUUUCAGCAAGCAGGCGGGCACGUGAAGGGUUAAAGACAGAGCUCUUGUUCUAGAAGGUUCCUACUGUAUAUUCGAGGAGAAAGGUGAUGGAUAUCCUUCACAGUGUACUAAAUAGUAUCGCAACACCCACAACAUUAUUUGGACCAAUGAGGAAACAAGUGCUUACACCAUGAGUACUGUGUGUAAUUCUGUUGUAGGUGUGUGGGCUAUUAGAGAAACGUAUAUA